GGAUCAUAAAGCAUCACAGCAACUCCAGUGUUGCCAACUCUUCCUGUACGUCCAGACCGAUGAAUAUAUGCUUCUACAUCCCGGGGAGGCUCACACUGGAUAAUCAACUGAACAUCAUUGAUGUCAAAACCCCUGGCUGCCACAUUGGUGGCCACCAAUGUCAAAGGCUCACACUGGAUAAUCAACUGAACAUCAUUGAUGUCAAAACCCCUGGCUGCCACAUUGGUGGCCACCAAUGUCAAGAAUUUACCAGACCUAAAACCUUUCAAUGUAAUCUCACG
rnacentral:lncRNA from 1 species